AACGAACGCUGGCGGCAUGCCUAACACAUGCAAGUCGAACGAACCCUUCGGGGUGAGUGGCGCACGGGUGCGUAACACGUGGGAACCUGCCCUUAGGUUCGGAAUAACACAGAGAAAUUUGUGCUAAUACCGGAUAAUGUCUUCGGACCAAAGAUUUAUCGCCUUUGGAUGGGCCCGCGUAGGAUUAGCUAGUUGGUGAGGUAAAGGCUCACCAAGGCGACGAUCCUUAGCUGGUCUUAGAGGAUGAUCAGCCACACUGGGACUGAGACACGGCCCAGACUCCUACGGGAGGCAGCAGUGGGGAAUAUUGGACAAUGGGCGAAAGCCUGAUCCAGCAAUGCCGCGUGAGUGAUGAAGGCCUUAGGGUUGUAAAGCUCUUUUACUGGGGAUGAUAAUGACAGUACCCAGAGAAUAAGCCCCGGCUAACUCCGUGCCAGCAGCCGCGGUAACAC
rnacentral:rRNA from 1 species